GAUCAUGGCUCAGAUUGAACGCUGGCGGCAGGCCUAACACAUGCAAGUCGAGCGGAUGAAGGGAGCUUGCUCCUGGAUUCAGCGGCGGACGGGWGAGUAAUGCCUAGGAAUCUGCCUGGUAGUGGGGGAUAACGUCCGGAAACGGGCGCUAAUACCGCAUACGUCCUGAGGGAGAAAGUGGGGGAUCUUCGGACCUCACGCUAUCAGAUGAGCCUAGGUCGGAUUAGCUAGUUGGUGGGGUAAAGGCCUACCAAGGCGACGAUCCGUAACUGGUCUGAGAGGAUGAUCAGUCACACUGGAACUGAGACACGGUCCAGACUCCUACGGGAGGCAGCAGUGGGGAAUAUUGGACAAUGGGCGAAAGCCUGAUCCAGCCAUGCCGCGUGUGUGAAGAAGGUCUUCGGAUUGUAAAGCACUUUAAGUUGGGAGGAAGGGCAGUAAGUUAAUACCUUGCUGUUUUGACGUUACCAACAGAAUAAGCACCGGCUAACUUCGUGCCAGCAGCCGCGGUAAUACGAAGGGUGCAAGCGUUAAUCGGAAUUACUGGGCGUAAAGCGCGCGUAGGUGGUUCAGCAAGUUGGAUGUGAAAUCCCCGGGCUCAACCUGGGAACUGCAUCCAAAACUACUGAGCUAGAGUACGGUAGAGGGUGGUGGAAUUUCCUGUGUAGCGGUGAAAUGCGUAGAUAUAGGAAGGAACACCAGUGGCGAAGGCGACCACCUGGACUGAUACUGACACUGAGGUGCGAAAGCGUGGGGAGCAAACAGGAUUAGAUACCCUGGUAGUCCACGCCGUAAACGAUGUCGACUAGCCGUUGGGAUCCUUGAGAUCUUAGUGGCGCAGCUAACGCGAUAAGUCGACCGCCUGGGGAGUACGGCCGCA
rnacentral:rRNA from 1 species